UACGAAGGGGGCUAGCGUUGCUCGGAAUCACUGGGCGUAAAGCGCACGUAGGCGGCUUUUUAAGUCAGAGGUGAAAUCCUGGAGCUCAACUCCAGAACUGCCUUUGAUACUGGAGAGCUUGAGUCCGGGAGAGGUGAGUGGAACUGCGAGUGUAGAGGUGAAAUUCGUAGAUAUUCGCAAGAACACCAGUGGCGAAGGCGGCUCACUGGCCCGGUACUGACGCUGACGGUGCGAAAGCGUGGGGAGCAACAGGG
rnacentral:rRNA from 1 species